rnacentral:lncRNA from 1 species
AUCAAAACAAAUCUAAAAAUAAUUAACACAACUUAAUAAAUAUACCAUAAAUACGUUUAAAAUAAUUGAACAUAGAAAAGAGUGAAAUGAAGAAAACAGGUAUAGUAACCCUUGAUCAGGUAUGAAAUGAUUUUAAACAUUUAAACGAUAAAAAUAAUCAAAAAAAUAAUUACAAAAUAUGAAAUAGGGGGCUCGGAUUCAUCUUUUGUCAAUCACAAGAACAAACCAUAGGUCUUCCCUCUUUAUGCCCAAAUCCCAUCCUAAGAGAUAGACAUGGCUGCAGUGGUUGCCAUGAAGGCCAUCCAAACUGUCUCGCCAUCAUCCUAUUAAGAUUGGAAAACCAAGCAUUGAAAGAGAUCGUAAAGCCUUUAUGAUUCAUACUUAUGCAUAAGAAUAUGUUAUUUGCCAACACCAUGGAGAAACAAUCUUAUGUUGUAAAGCCCAAAUGGUGAUUGGUCAAAUGCAUAAUUGACUUUUAUUUAUCAUCAUAGCCUCUUCAUAAUUCAAAAGCAAUAUACUGAGAAGCAAAGAUGAAAUCAAUACAGUGAAAUUUAUAAAAAGAAAAUGUAAAUAAUGAAAGCUAUGAAAGGAUAAAAAGAAAAAGGUUGGAAGAAAAGAAACAAUCCUCUUGAAUGUAUUAUUUCCCCACACCAAAACAAGCUCCAUAUCCCCAAAAUACCUCAGUUAAAUAAGAACCCCAAAUGAGAAUAAAAAACUAGAGAACUAAUUGUUGUUUGCAGCAGACAGUGAUCAUUUAUGAUCAUUUUACAUCAUCAAGCUUAACCAAUGCAGGGGUAACAAUGCCAUCAACACAAUCGCAAUCCCUACUACCUGAACAAGCAUUUGCACAAACGGCACAAAGAAUCAUUUGCUAUACAGGGCAUAGGAUUUAGGCUCUAAAUAACAAACAAGUACAAACAGUAGCAAAACAACAAAGAUAGCUUGUUGUAGCCAAACUCAAGACUCUCUUUAACUGGACCAAUUAUCACAUCGCCAUUUUUUUUACCUCAAUUGAUUUUUAACAGCCGGAUAAUAAUUCUUAAAAGUAAUAAAACUAACAUAAUGUUGAAGAUAACAUGUAAAUUUCUCAUAUAAUCUUAAAGUGACCCGAAUCUCAGAUGAAAAAAAAAAACCUUGAAACAAAAUUAUGAAAGCCCACCGAACUUGUAAAACUUUAAAAAUGUCAUUUUGUUGACAAAUAAUUUUUUCUAUAAUGUCUAUAUCAAAACAAUUCUCAGAAAAAUUAACACCACUUAAGCAAAUAUACUAUGAGUACAUUUAAAAUAAUUAAACCAAGAAAAAAAAGAAAUGGAGAAAACAUGUAUAGUUUAACCCUUGAUCAGGCAUGAAAUGAUUUUAAACAUUUAAAUAGUAAAAAUAAUCAAAAGAACCAUUACAAAAUAAGAAAUAGGAGGCUCAGAUUCAUCUUUUGUCAAUCAUAAGAACAGACCAUAGGUCUUCCCUCUUCUUGCCCAAAUCUCAUCCUAAGAGAUAGACAUGGCUGCAGUGGUUGCCAUGAAGGCCAUCCAUACUGCCUCGCCAUCAUCCUAUUAAGAUUGAAAAAUCGAGCAUUGAAAGAGAUUACAAAGCCUUAAUGCUUCAUAAUAUGCAUAAGAAUCUGUGACUUGCCAACACCAUGGAGAAACAAUCUUGUGUUUAAAAGCUCAAAUGGUGAUUAGUCAAAUCCAUCAUUGACUUUUAUUUAUCAUCAUAGCCUCUUCAUAAUUCAAAAGCAAGAUACUGAGAAGCAAAGAUGAAAUCAAUACAGUGAAAUUUACAAAAAGAAAACAUAAAUAAUCAAAGCCAUGAAAGGAUAAAAAGAAAAAGGUUGGAAGAAAUGAAGCAAUCCUCUUGAAUGUAUUAUUUCCCCACACCAAAACAAGCUCCAUAUCCCCAAAAUACCUCAGUUAAAUAAGAACCCCAAAUGAGAAUAAAAAACUAGAGAACUAAUUAUUGUUUGCAGCAGACAGUGAUCAUUUAUGAUCAUUUUACAUCAUCAAGCUUAACCAAUGUAGGGGUAACAAUGCCAUCAACACAAUCGCAAUCCCUACUACCUGAACAAGCAUUUGCACAAACGGCACAAAGAAUCAUUCGCUAUAUGGGGUAUAGGAUUUAAGCUCUAAAUAACAAACAAGUACAAACAGUAGCACAACAACAAAGAUAGCUUGUUGUAGCCAAACUCAAGACUCUCUUUAACUGGACCAAUUAUCACAUCGUCAUAUUUUUUUACCUCAAUUGAUUUUUAACAGCCGGAUAAUAAUUCUUAAAAGUACUAAAACUAACAUAAUGUUGAAGAUAACAUGUAAACUUCUCAUAUAAGCUUAAAGUGACCCGAAUCUCAGAAGAAAAAAAAAACCUUGAAACAAAAUUAUGAAAGCCCACCGAACUUGUAAAACUUUAAAAAUGUCAUUUUGUUGACAAAUAAUUUUUUCUAUAAUGUCUAUAUCAAAACAAUUCUCAGAAAAAUUAACACCACUUAAGCAAAAUAUACUAUGAGUACAUUUAAAAUAAUUAAACCAAGAAAAGAGAGAAAUGGAGAAAACAUGUAUAGUUUAACCCUUGAUCAGACAUGAAAUGAUUUUAAACAUUUAAAUAGUAAAAAUAAUCAAAAGAACCAUUAUAAAAUAAGAAAUAGGAGGCUCAGAUUCAUCUUUUGUCAAUCACAAGAACAGACCAUAGGUCUUCCCUCUUCUUGCCCAAAUCCCAUCCUAAGAGAUAGACAUGGCUGCAGUGGUUGCCAUGAAGGCCAUCCAUACUGCCUCGCCAUCAUCCUAUUAAGAUUGAAAAAUCGAGCAUUGAAAGAGAUUACAAAACCUUUAUGCUUCAUAAUAUGCAUAAGAAUCUGUGACUUGCCAACAUCAUGGAGAAACAAUCUUGUGUUUAAAAGCCCAAAUGGUGAUUGGUCAAAUCCAUCAUUGACUUUUAUUUAUCAUCAUAGCCUCUUCAUAAUUCAAAAGCAAGAUACUGAGAAGCAAAGAUGAAAACAAUAUAGUGAAAUUUAUCAAAAAAAAUAUAAAUAAUCAAUGCUAUAAAAGGAUAAAAAGAAAAAGAUUGGAAGAAAAGAAGCAAUCCUCUUGAAUGUAUUAUUUCUUUCCCCACACCAAAACAAGCUCCAUAUCCCCUAAAUACCACAUUUAAAUAAGAAACUUAAAUGAGAAUAAAAAACUAGAGAACUAUUUGUUGUUUGCGACAGAUAGUGAUCAUUUAUGACCAUUUUACAUCAUCAAGCUUAAUCAAUGCUUAACCAAUGCAGGGGCAACAAUGUCAUCAAUACAAUCGCAAUCCCUACUACCUGAACUAAGCGUUUGCACAAAUGGUACAAAGAAUCAUUUGCGAUAUGGGGCAUAUGAUUUAAGCUCUGAAGAACAAACAAGUACAAACAGUAGCAUGACAACAAACAUAAGAAACAAUGUAUCUGACAUGGCAAGAACAUCCCCAAUAACCAUAUGUGCUCUCCCCUAUAUGCUUCAUUGUUUCAAACAAUAAUGAUUUACCUGGACAUGAAAGUAUUUUGCAAGCAUAAAUCCAUGACAAUGUGAGCAAAAAGGAUCCGUUCAUUUAAAAAAGAAAACCUUCUAAGAUGCUCACCCGAAAUUGUACCCAUACAAAGUUCCCCCCAAUGUUAGUUUGUUGUCGUUAAGCUCAAGACUUUCUAUAACUGGACCAACUAUCACAUUGCCAUUUUUUUUUUCCUCAAAACAAUUUUUAACAACCUGAUAAUAUUUCUUAAAAUUACUAAAAUUAACAUAAUAUUGAAAAUAACAAACAAACAUCUCAUACUAGCUAGAGGUGAUCCAAUCUCAAAUGAAAAAACAAAAAAACAUGAAACAAAAUUAUGAAAGCACACCAAACUUAUAAAUUUUUAAAAAUGUCAUUUUGGUAGACAAAUAAUUAUUUCUAUAAUGUCUACAUCAAAACAAAUCUCAGAAAAAUUAACACCACUUAAGCAAAUAUACCGUGAGUACAUUUAAAAUAAUUGAACCUUGAAAAGAGAGAAAUGGAGAAAACAUGUAUAGUAACCCUUGAUCAGGCAUGAAAUGCUUUUAAACAUUUAAAUAAAAAAAAUAAUCGAAAGAACCAUUACAAAAUAAGAAAUAGGAGGCUCAUAUUCAC